GAUGAAGAACGUAGCGAAAUGCGAUAAGUAAUGUGAAUUGCAGAAUUCAGUGAAUCAUCGAAUCUUUGAACGCACAUUGCGCCCGUCAGUAUUCUGGCGGGCAUGCCUGUUCGAGCGUCAUUACGCCCCUCAAGUCCCCUGUGGACUUGGUGUUGGGGAUCGGCGAGGCUGGUUUUCCAGCACAGCCGUCCCUUAAAUUAAUUGGCAGUCUCGCCGUGGCCCUCCUCUGCGCAGUAGUAAAACACUCGCAACAGGAGCCCGGCGCGGUCCACUGCCGUAAAACCCCCCAACUUUUUAUAGUUGACCUCGAAUCAGGUAGGACUACCCGCUGAACUUAAGCAUAUCAAUAAGCGGAGGA
rnacentral:misc_RNA from 1 species